rnacentral:lncRNA from 1 species
UGGUCUCUUUUUAAUGUCCCUUUUUCUGUAGGCAGCUGCUCCCAACCUCAGCCCCUCUGCUGCCUUGGAACAGACCAACACUGUAAGAGAGGAAGCUGCUACUGUGAUGAUUUCUGCCAUGUGGCAUCAGACUGCUGCCCAGACCACCAUGCCCUCUGCAACCCAGCUUCUCAGACUACCAAGAUGGCGCUGCAGAUGGUUCUGAGGAUGGAGAAGCCCCCACGCCCUGCAAGACACAAUCUAGACAGGAUGCAGAGCAUAGUCCAACAGCUUCUCCGAACCAACUUUCCAGGGAUGCCUCUCUCCAUCUCCGUGAAGGGAAUCAAGAAGAGAGUCUGAUAUCCCCUGUGAAGCCUGUCCCGAGCCCCCCCACCCCACUUUCCCACCGCCAGGCCUGCUGGGGCCUCAUCACUGGACACAGUGUGCUUGGCUUCUAUCCUGCAUGUUUCCACAUUGGCUCACCCAGAGGAAAACAGAAAUCUGCAAUUGUCAUAAACACAUUUAAAUCAGCCCUACAGAGUAUAAAACAUAAAUUUGGCUCAUGGAAUUCAUUGUUUGUGGUGGUUACAAUGAAUAUAGCAAAC